AUUAGUUGCUUUAGCAGGGUAUCAAUCAUUUUUGGUGUCAAUACAAAUCUUAUUUCCCUCUUCCCAAUAUUCAUUUAUAAAUAGGACCUUUAUAUGACAUAGUUUUUGAGGCUAUGAGGACUUGCCAUACAAUAACUGAUGUACUCUGAAAAGCUCCUUAUGCUGGAUCUUUUAUUUUCUUGCAUUUUUCGAAUAAAAAUCUGAAAUCUGUCUCUGUGCAGUAAGGCUUAUUUAAUUGAAACAAGAAAUAUGUAAAUUAUUGUGAAAAAUACACAUCAUAACACAUGUAGCAAUACAUGCAGACAAAACAAUAUCCAGUAAGGCCAACCCUGACAUCUUUCUCCCAAAACGAAGAAAUAGGUCAUUGCACUUCUAAGUGAAAAAGAUUUAAUGUCAGUCUGUCAGGGAAGUACAUAAGGUGCAACCUAAAUUUUCUUACUAGGUUAACCUUCUGUAAACACUACCAUUCUUUGUGACAUAGAUCUGUUCUAGAAAAAAAUGUUUAGGCCUCAAACCUGGCUGAACUUACAGGCACUUGUUUGGAAUGUGUUUAAUGAACAGCAACCUCUUUCCUUCAGUGCUAAUUGUGUUUCUAUUUUUAUUUAUUAAAGCAAAUUUUUUAUAUUCUGAGAUACCACUGCUAACAAACUCCUGAUUUUAAGGAUAUGCAUGUAAAAAUGGUAUUCUCUGAGAAGGACUGUCUCAGACUCAGGAGAACAAAGGUAACAGUAUUUUUUAGAAAAAGUGCUCAAAGUAGACAGAUUUUGUUCAGACAGUUUUUCAUUCUUACCUGAAGAUGCAGCUGUCUCAGAAUCAUAUCUAAAUACAUGUACUGGAAAAAAUGUAGUAUAUUUUGGAUGCUACAGGAUAAAAUCAUUAUCAAACCUCUGUUAAUUAGUAUUGAGCAAUGGUUUAAGUAGCAUUGCAUAGGGUGUACAUCAGCACAGAAUAUUUUCCCCAGUGUGAGGUUCUGAGGGACAUACUCUUAUGAAGAUUGGGCUAAUUGCAUUAAUGUUAUCCUUGUCUGGUUCUUUGGGGUUGUUUAGAUACUGGGGAGGAGUGAUGAUCAAAGAAUGAUUAAGAUAAGCAAAUACGUAAUGUACUCUAUUAUAAAGACUUUGUUUUUGUUUUUGGCUCCUUGUUUUAUAUCAUUCCUAUCUGCAAAAAUAAACUUGCAAAUUCUGGAGUUUUAGUCUAUUCUGGAACCUACUUUCAUCAAAGUGCUUUGCUCAUCCGUGUAUAAAUGAAUAGAUGGGGGUGGGGAAUUAAAAGGGAAAUGAUUCACUUAAACUGUGAAUAGAAAUCAUGCUAAAAUACAUAUUGUUCACACAACUGUGGAAUAUUGGAUAAGGCAACUGUUUUCCUACCAACACCAAGGUGACAAUCAGCCCACAUUUUAGAUGUUAUGCAGGCUGCUAUGUGCAAUAUAUGCCUAUCUAUGGAACAAAAGAUUAUUUUAAGUUUAGUUAGGCAUAAAAUAGCCACUGAUUUCUACCAGCAGAUGGUUCUAUAAAUCUAGCAAGGUUCCUGUAGUAGUCAAUGAAAUCAGUUUUAUAAAGCCAGUCUCUGGGCCAGAACAUAAAAUACAACUUAAAGCUAUCCAAACACAAAAAAUAAAAUGUUGUUGCCCACCUGUCUAGUCCCAUUGUUUGCUUUGUAGUGUAACAUAAUUACAAACCUCAUUAAACUGUUUUUAAAAGUUCCCCUUCUUUUUCUGUGAUAAAAAUUAAAAUGUACAAUUAGGUUGCAAGGAUGUUUAAGAUUUGAUACUUGGCAGAACCCCUUCUCCUACCACCAGCCGUUUUCCCCACUUUUUCACUUCUGGUAUUCUAACACUGAAUGUAAUUCUAACUCAGACCAGUGACACACUUUCCUUGCAGCAGUGGAAACACUUGUCUUUGGCAUAUUUCUUCUUGUAUUAACUGCAAGUAUCUCUCUAACCAUUCUGAUUUACAGAAUAUACUCUUUGCAUAUCAACACUUUCUGCACACUGAAAUACAUGAUGAUGAAAGUGCUUACUUUGUUUUAAUAUCACAGUAUAUGCAAAGGCUCUACCCUGCUCUCACUGGUCAGUUGAAAUUUAGCUAUUGUGUUUCAGUAGACUGAGAUGAAGUUAAAAAAUAGGGGGACAGGGCCUUCUCCUUUGCCAGUCUGAAAGUUCAUUAAUUAUUUAGCUAAGCUUACAGUUAAAUUUGAAAUUACUAGAAUAACUUGUUCAGUGAGAACAAAUGAGUUCUUGUUUUAACUUCACUGUCUAACUCUCUUAGUUUCUUAAUUUUCUUUUCUCAUAAAAUGUUUCUUAAAAAUUUUAAACAGUAAAAGCAAGUUAUUUAACACAUUAAUUUUCAAUGCUUCUUCUUCUUUUCCUGGACUUGGAAUUAGAAUUAUCUGAUUAAUUAAUCAGUCUUUCUUCCACCUGUUUAAUAAUAAUAUCCUCAAUUUUAAGUGCAACAGAAAAGCAGAGUGCACUUUCUAUUAUUCUUAUAAUUUUAACUCAUGGAUGUUUUAAGCCAUUUUACACAAGAACAUUUGACAUUUGAAGGUCUGUCCUUACUUCUGCAUAAGGCAUUUCCUUUAAGUGUUUACCUGAAGGUGGAAACAGCCUUUUAUAUUUAUGUACAAUGUAUAAAAUCCCGAGGUGACUUAAGUGGUCUUUUAUUUUGAAACGCUAGAACUUCUAUAUACUACCUUAAUGGCAAGUGCUAAGUGUUAUGAAAUGUAAACUAAAAUUUUACUUAAUAUUAACUAAAAUUUUAGCUAACAAGGGGGGAACAAGACGUUCUAACUAAAAAAGAAUUUUAAAAAAGGAGUUUGUUUUAAACUUCCAUCCUUGAAAGGGAUCCAAUCAUUUAAAUAAAAGAGCAUGUUAAAAAAUUGGGAGUUAGGAAGUCUUAAUUCCAGUUUUCUGUGAUCUCAAAGAAGUCUCCUACCAAAACCAGGAAAGGGUUGGGUUUUGUGUUGUUUGUUUGUUUUUGUCAUGGUAAAUAUUAGUUUUUAAAUAAAGAAAUCAGAUUAUCAUUUUAGACAGUUAGAGAAGUGAUCUGUUCAUUUGCUUUCAAAACACUCAGGUGUGUUCUUUUCUCCUUCUUGUGGAUUUUAAGUUAAGUUCUGGGAGCUCACAGUGAUGGUGCUUAAAGAAUUUAAACUAACAGUGCUAAUAAAUGUGUGUAUCAGUCAACAGAUCCUUAAAAAUUUAAUUUUGACUUUUCUGAAAGUAAACAGAAGGUAAUGUAGAGCAAAUGAUUAAUUUUCUCCUGACUUACCACAGGGAGAUGGCUUUCUUGUCAGCCUUUCUUAUUGGUGUGGAGUCUCUGGGCUGGCUGUUGUACAGUGUAGCUGUGUCAUCGCAGAGCAAAAAGGCUCUGGAAGUAGGUCAUUUGGGCUGGAUGCUCCCUGUCCUGCAUCCCUGCCUGAACUGCAUCACUUCUGAGGUUAUUCUGUCAUAUUUUGUCAUUUACAGUCCUUCUGUUUUAUAGUCUUACUUGGAGGAAAAGAGAAAUGGGGGAUGAUGACCUUUAGGAGUGAGAAGAGUUGGGAGAGAGGCCCUUCUUUUUUAAGUAAAACGGAAAGAAAAGACAGCCUGCAUUUUGUUGAAGAGAAAAGAAUCACCAUCCCAUUUAGUUUUUUGUUUGCAUGGGGUUUUUUUCUUCUAGUUUGUAGAGGAAUUUAUAAUAUUAUUUACUUUAGGUGAAGAUAUUUAUGAAGAAAAUUUUGUGUUUAAAAUUUCAUCCCAGUUUAACCUUUACUAACCUUUUUCCAGGGAGUUACAUGCAGGUGUCUUUACACAUUCUGUAAUUUUCUGUGCCCCUGGGCUAGAACAGCUUUUCAUAAUUUUAGGAUUAUUUGUGGAGAAUGGAGUCUAGAAUUGGUCUGGCAGAGGCACACAUUAUUUAGAACCUUUUAUAUGCUCUCAGAGAAAAAAAAAAAAAAAAAAAAAAAAGCAAGGUAAUGAAAUGAGGCAUUUUGUCCAGCCUAUUACUAGAUGCACACUGGACAAAAGCAGCUCUUGGUCUGGCACGUGAAAACUCAAACCUGGUUGAUUAUUACCAAGCCUGGUACUUGAACUGGAAUUGGAGUCUCCUUUAUGGAUGUUUUGCAGUUUUGGAGAGCAUAGACAGAAAUUUACUGGAGGAACAAAGUCAUUCACAGCCAUUUUAUUGCUUGAUGGAACUUUCCACAUAAUGUACACUUGAUUUUUAUUUUCUCUGAAAUAAAUGUACUCUUUCUCUUUCACAGAGUGCAAUACUCUGGUAAUAGUUUACUCUUAGUAAAAUUCAUUAAUUCAGUAAGAAGUUGGAGGACCACUUAUGACCGUGUUCACAAUGUACUGCUUAGGUUUUUUUUCUCUUAGUCUUUGUAUGCAUGGUAAAUAUUAACAAUGUUUUGCAAUGAUUUUUGUGUAUUAACAAAGUAAAAAAGCAGCAGAAUACUUGUAGCACACAAGCGGGAUUGAUCCUAAAUGCUGCAGAAAAGUGAAAAUUGACCUCUCUUCCUAAAAAUUGCAUCACAUUCAGUUGGUGUGGAGUGGAUUCCUCCCCAGGGAAAGUUAGAAAGUGUUUUCUAGAACUAAGCUCAUUCAAUCACAUAUGUUAGAAUACAGCUGAAGUUUCUGUAGAGGGGUUCUUAUUGGAUAAAGAAUUGGGCAGAAGUCUUAUUUGUAAAUACACAUAUAAAUCAUGCAACCUGUAUAUGGAUGAGGACAGGAAGGAGUCCCUUGAAGAAGCUGAUACAGAUAAGCCAGGGUAGGAGACUGCAUAGGAGCAGAUGCUUCUGUGUAACCUCAAGAAUAGAUACUUUUAAAAACAACAAAGGAAACAACAGAUGAUGAUGGGUUUGUAGGAGAAGCUUUUCAAGGUCACUUACUUAUGCUGUGUAGGGAAGGAGCAAAUGACAUCCUAUUCUGUGAAAUUGACAGAAAUUGCAGCAGAGAUGCAAAAGAACUGCUAAAAUCCCUAAAUACCUGAUAAAUAAACUUUGUAAUUCAUUUGCAGUGUGGAGAGGAAGAUGCAAGGAAAAGCAUACUUGUCUCAUUUAGGCCUUUUCAUCUCUAUGUGGUUGUGAGUUUGAGUCAUCAGAUGGGGAGGAAUAAAAAGCAGCAGUAAUAUCUUCCCCAUGAAAAGGCAAAGACAUCAAAAGAUGCUGAUGCAGAGAAGUCAAAGGCAAAUUCAGGUGUACAGCUGUCCUGCCAUGUUCUGCUGAUAUACUGCCAAGUAUUAAUUAUCAUUGCAAUGGCAGAUAAAGUCUCACAAAGGUGUGCCACUUGGAGCAAUCCCAGCUGCAGAAUCAUGAUGUAACUCUUCAUCCGUUCUCUCAAACCAUUUAUCUAACCUUUACUUUGUGGGACUAACCAAGUGAAAGAAAUGUAAAUUAUUGGUUUUCCCCACUGUUUUUUUGAUGUUCAUGGCACUGAUGUGAAAACCAGGAUGACAAAAAAUCUGCUGCCCUGACAGGAUACUGAAAUCAUGAAGUCAAGUUGUUUGGGAUGACUGUCACUGCACCUCAAGCAGAGGCUCAGACUCGUGAUGCAGAGACACUCAAAAAUGCAAAAAAAAUUCACAAAAUUGUUAAGCCUCACAUCUGUUAAAUCACAUAUUCACAGCAUUUUUUAAUUAUUAAGUUAAGGUGAUGGAAGUUGCACUUUAACUUGGUCAAGUUUGGUUUCUGCUGUUUCCAUAGGGAUGUCUUCCUCAGUAAGCCUGUUCCAGAGUUAGGCUAUCACAACAGCAGCCUCCUGUUUCAUCAUGAGUACAACUUCCUAAAUAUAACAAAGGCUCCUCAAAACUUUAAGGACUCACUGAAAUAAGGAGUAAUGAUGAGUACUCUUGAUGUAGCUUUGCUCCUCUCCAGAAGAUCUAGAAAAUAAAAGCUGUGAUUGAUAGAAUACUUCUGUCCAACUAAAAUCUUAAAAAGCAGCAUCUGUUCAGCUCACAGUUGCUAUAUGCAUUAAAUCUUGUGUGCUAGGUUAGGAACACAGUGGAUAUUUGUAUUUUGUACUUUCAUAAAUUUCCCCUCACAGUUUCAAAAAUAAAUUACUGAGGAUGGGAGCGUUAGUUUACUCCUUGCACUGAAGCAAAGGCUUUGAUCCUUGCACAAGCUUUCCCUCCAGUUUGGUUUAAAAAGAAUUAGUGAGUUUUUCAUUCACAAAAUUAUUUAUUUAGUGUUUAAGCAGUGGCACAGUAAAAUUUUUUAUGCAUUUGGAUUGUGAUUGUAGGAUGUUGUUUAGAAAGAAGCUGUUUUACUGCAGUGGGAGACAUUUGGGGGAAUUGAGAAGUACAUGGUAGGAUGUGCUGUGAAAUGUACAUCUACAGCUCAAACUAGCUGGCAACUAAGAAAUUUUAAAGAAAUGUAGGUACAGAAGUGAGAAGCAGCGUUCCUUUUUGGCUAUGCAGCACACUCUCGGGAGUAGGGUGGCCUCUCUCCCUUUCUCUGUUCUGGAUUAGGCACUCAGUCCUCACAGCUGCACAAUGUCAUUUUAGUGCUGCAGAGAGAACAAGAAUACCUCUUUCUUACCUUCUUCUCCCCACCUCUUAUCAUUCUACUCCCAUGUUCCUCAGCAUGUGGCCAUCUGUGUCUGUUAUUACAUUGCUAAUCCAUAUAGUAAAUCUUUUUCUUAUAAUUUUUUUUUUCCUUCUUUAGGUAGGUUACUGCAGAAUUACUGGACAUGGUCACUUUUUAUUUGGAAUUAGGAUCUACAGUACUUGACAUAAUUUCCUUUUUGUUUUCAUUCCUCCCUGCCUCAAAAUUGGUUUAUAAGAAAAAGAGGUUAUCUGAAGGUGGUUGCUGAUUUCCCCAGAGCAGUUGCUCUUCAAUAAACUUUUAGUUAAGAAAUCAAGAGUGCAGUUGAAUACCACUCUACAUCCUGAAUAAGACGUGAUUACAAGAAUUCAGUUGUGGUUCACAUGGAGAAAAAAAGGGGAAAAAAUAGAAAAAAUAAUUACAAGGAUUUUCUCAAUUGUUUCUUAAUGAUAAAAACCUUGGGAAUGCUUAGCAGGAAUAUGCUCAUUUUGGUAAGUUUAGCAUGCCAUAAAUCUGGGUUUUUUUGGCUCUUGAUGGAUUUCUAUGUAUGUCUGAAAGACGCUCUUAGUGAAUUGGAAUUAAGAGUGGGCACCAAAUAAAUUUUAGCAUGUUGAUGUGACUAAUAGAGUAUGUUAAGUUCAGCUCUAUUAAAAUUAUUUUGUGUACCUGUUUUAAGGCUGGGCAAAAGAUUGUGCUCCCCUACCACUGUUCUUUGAAAAAGCAUGUUUUAGUUGAAAAAAUCCCCAGAAAUUAGAAUUUUUAAAUGUCAGUAAAACAGAGCUAGAGCAAAAGAGUUUCUCAGACUGUUGGCUAAAGGAAUAAAGUAGACUCUACUGGCUUUUAAUCCUCCUGGUUUGAAAAAAAACUCAAGCUAAAACAACCCAAAAAAUUAUCAGUAGUUCUGGAAUCUGAGAGAUCUGGUGAGCAGACUAGGCAUUUAUUUGCCUCCACUUUUGCUCUUCUUUAACAUUAAAUUGCAUUAUAUGUAUCUUUUCAGGAGACUGGAGGCUACAAAAUGGAAAGCAUACUCAUAGAGAACCCAUAAUUCCCAGUUUUGAAGUUGGCCUCAAUGUUUAAGGCAGAAUUGCAUGUUGUUGCAUAGCAGUGUCUCAGGUAGCUCUUUUCACAUCUGACGGUUCAUGUAUGAAGCUUCCUGGCUUAACUGUCUAGCUAAUGAUGAUCCAACUGUGAGGCUAUCAAUGUGAGUCAGCAUUAUGCAGACUUACAGAAACUGUACUUUUCAAUCCCCCCUAAAGCUCAGUAAUUCCAUUCUGAAUCCUGAUACUUUGGUUAUUUAAACCAAGCCUGCACUUGCAUAAAACAGUCACACAGGAAGUACUAAGAAAUGAAGAUUUUGUGUGUAUCAAUGGAAGCAUUUGUUUAGAAGUGUUUCUUCAUGCUAACAGCUGGAAUGUUGUAACCUUUACACCCUACUCUGUAAUGAAGCAUUGCUUUCCUCUCUCAUAGCUCAUUUUGCAUUUAUAUCAGUACUUUUGAGCUGCUAUAACUGAAAUAAUGUUAUAUGUGUUUCUCUAAUGCCCUAGUUAUCAGUAUAUUUGAACUUCUAAGUAGCUUCUGCAUUUAUAAAGCACAGCAAAAUGUCAUGGUUUGUUUUAUAUCCUUUUUUUUUCCCUCCUUCUGGUGAAUUACAGUAAAUCUAAAGUGGACUUCUCUACACCAGCAUCUUUUUUUUUCCAUUCAAGAAUCUUUUUCCACUUGGCCAGAUUGCAAGCCAUUAUUCUCCAGCCUAUCAGCAUUGCUCUCAAGGCAUGUACCUAAAGUCCUUUGUCCAUUCAGGACUCCGGUACAGUCAUAGCAGAACCGUCACUUCAUUGGGUCAUCAAAUAGUCCAUGUGAUUAUUAUCUACCAAUACGACCUACAGUAUUUAUUUUUGAAGAAGAAAAAAGGGUAUUAUUGAUUUUUUUUUUUUUUUUAACAGAGAAUUACUGUGAAAGAUAGCUUGGGAAUUAUGUGGGGUAUUUUUCAGGUGGUGGUAGGUUUUGGGGUUUGGUUUUUUUUUAACCCUAGAGCAUAGCUGUGAGCUCAUCUUACACUUUACACCUUUUCCCUCCUGCCUCAUUCCCAAAAUCCACCCACAAACUGCAAUUCCUUCAAGUUUUUAUGAAUUUAAUUUGAGGAUUCCUUUCUUUUUCAUCUAACUUCAGGUGCUUAUUUUAUUCCUAUUAGGUUAUUAAUAGGGAUAACAUGGCCUAUAAUCUAACCUAGAUACAUCUCAGACUCCAUGGAAAAUAUAGACAUUUGUAUUCAUGAUAAUGACUAAUUCUCUACUCUGAUGCUUCUGUGAUCCUCCCAUAUACACUUUGUAUACUUUGCCGAUGUGAACAGUGUGUCCUGUGGUAGAGCUGAGCUCCUACUGCUAUUUCCCACCAUGAGUUUUCACACAGAAAGUGUGUCUACACAAUAAAAUGAAGACAUAGUUGCAAAAUGAAUAACCAGUGAUUAUAAAUAGCAACAGAAAAAUCUCAGAGGUUACUUGGUAUCUUUCAUUCAAGUGUUCAAAUAUUCAGAGUGAGCAUUAUCUGAAUUCACAGAUGCCCUGUGCUACACAUUGGUUAUUUUAUGUCAAACACACACAGAGAGCUGAACUGGCUUGUAGGAGACCUCAGAUAUGAAAAACAAUCUUUGCUUUAAUCCAUAGAAAGUACUGUUUGUACUGCAGAAAAGCAUGGGAGAAUGUACAAUGCAGGCACUGCCUUGGGCUCUGCAUUUUAAAUCUCUCCUCUGUGUCUUUCUCCUCUGUAUUAUAGAAGAGUUCAGUAUUUUCUUUUGAGAAGAGGAUUUAAAUACUCUUCCAAUAGUUUCUCCAGGAUAGAACUAGUCCAGUUGUGACGGCUAAUAGUCAACACACACCUCCCCAGAGACAAAAACUUUUCUUAUGUUUCAAUAUAUGCACAGGAGCAAGAGAGAGAGUAAAACUGGCCCAGCACUUACUUAACUGACUAACAAAGUUUUGAUUUCCAAAGUGCCUCAAAACACUGACAGUUUGACAUCCCAGCAUCAUGCAGAAAGAGAUCAAUUCACACAACACCAAGAGCCCAGGAGAAAGACCCA